CGCGCGCUUACGUACGCACGCGCUCGUGCUCGUGCCUCCUGCGUGGCGCGUCCGUCGCGCCUCCGAAAUGGGUCUGGAGCUGAGACUGGAACUUAGGCCAUCAGCUCUUCUGAUUCUCAGGCUUUGGAACUUGGAGUGGAACCAUACCGACUGCUCUCCUGGGUCUUCAGCUUGCUGACUACAGAUCAUAAGACAUCUCAGCCUCCAUGAUCACAUGGUCCACUCCAGCAGCUCUUUUUAACUGCUCCAGAAGGAACAGCUCUUUUUAACUGCUCUUUUAAACCUGGUCAGUCCUCUCUACCUAAAAAUGAGGAGAUCUCAAUCUUCUCUGGAGUCGAACUCAUUUUGGAUCACCAGUAUAUUCAUUAGGUAAUGAAAAUCAACUUUGUGUUUUGAUUUGUUACUGUAUGAUUUAUUACUGUUUAAUUUGUAUACUGCAGGGUUUCCCAACAUUUUACUGUUGACAUUUUGAG